rnacentral:rRNA from 1 species
GCUCGGGUGGCGAACGGGUGAGUAACACGUGAGUAACCUGCCCUUGACUUUGGGAUAACUUCAGGAAACUGGGGCUAAUACCGGAUAGGAGCUCCUGCUGCAUGGUGGGGGUUGGAAAGUUUCGGCGGUUAGGGAUGGACUCGCGGCUUAUCAGCUUGUUGGUGGGGUAGUGGCUUACCAAGGCUUUGACGGGUAGCCGGCCUGAGAGGGUGACCGGCCACAUUGGGACUGAGAUACGGCCCAG